GAGGGAAGAGCUCAGUUUUGAAAUCUGGCAGUGUUUAUACCUGUCCGAGUUGUAAAUUGAAGAGAAUGUCAUCCAUGCUGGACCACGUCUAAAUUGUAAUGAUCCACAGUCCUUUGAUGGAGUAUCAGAGAGGGUAAUAAUCCCGUCUUUAACGUGGACUGCCAGUGUUGAUGUGAUGCACUCUCUCAGAGUCGAGUAGUUUGGGAAUGCUGCUCUAAUGGGAGGUAAACUCCUUCUAAAGCUAAAUAUUGGCGAGAGACCGAUAGCGAACAAGUACCGUGAGGGAAAGAUGAAAAGAACUCUGAAAAGAGAGUCAAACAGAACGUGAAAUUGCUGAAAGGGAAGCAUUUGGAGUCAGAUGCAUCCUCAUGUUUUUACCACUUGUUGGUGACUUGGGGAUGGGCCAGGACUCACGUAGACCAUUGGAGAAGGGGUCAUGGAAUGUAGCUCGUCUUGAGUGAUUAUAGCCUUGAUUCGUAUGCAAUGGUG
rnacentral:rRNA from 1 species